GGCCUCGUGGCCUAAUGGAUAAGGCGUCUGACUUCGAAUCAGAAGAUUGCAGGMUCGAGUCCUGCCGGGGURG